GCCACUAAACUAUACACCUGCUUUUCACAGUCGAAGCACAGAAUCAUUUCUGAACGAAUAAGUGGCAGAUCACAAAGUUAUUUCACUGAAAACAAUUUCUAGCACACAUCAUCAAUCAGCAUUUUCUGAUUUCGAAAAGCCGUGGAGUUAAGGCCAUCGAAAGCAAAGGUACCUACAGCACAACUAGUUAAUGUUCCUGACACAAGAAUUCCACAGAGGAGGCAUUCCUGACAGAAGAAUUCAACAGAGAAGAUACAGGACAUUCCAGAAGAUGUGACCUGGCUGAAUUUCUGGUUUGGAAAGCUACAACGUGAAGAUCCAAAAUGUCUGGGGCCAGGAAAGCUUUGAAAAAGAACAACUUCCAGAGGGUUACAACAUUGGCCUGAUGUCUGUUCCCACUGCAUCCCAUGAGGGGCCCAUAUGAGUCCUGUCUCUUUUUGACCCUGAGGUUUAAUGUGGGUUACGGAGGAGGGCAGCGUGAUAAAAUGUGACAGUGAGAGAAGGAUUUGAAGAAUUGAAAGAGUAGGUCAAACAGGAGAGCCAGGGAGAGUAUUUGAGAUUGUGAAUUAACUGUAAUGUCAGUUUCUGGGGUCACAGGAAAUAAUUAAACUGAGCCAGCAUCACAGAAGGGAAAAAAAAUCAGAUUAUCUGGCUGCUGGGACACUGCUGCAUGUGGGAUCUUGCUGUGUAUUAAUUGUCCCAGUGCCAUUGUUACAGGUCGUGACUGUUUUGAUCAGGUAACCCAUCAUUUCAAAGCUUUACAAAGGGACUGGCAUGGAAACUCAAUGCAUCACCCGAUAUGUUUGUGUUCAGAUGUUGCCAAGACGUUGUCCGUGUGACAGAGAGGAAAUCCCAGGAUCUUGCUGCACUGUCUCUGCUUUGCCUUGCAACUAAUGCUGUCUCUUUUUUUUCUCCAAAGGGACCAGUUUUUUUUUGAAGAACCAAAGGGGAAGCGUUUGGGGCCCACAAGGCAUAGAACAAGGGCUUUCUCCAAAGGGGACAUCAUGCUGAGGCUUAUUGGACAGGCUGCGCCCCAGGGUUUGAAGCUUGGGGUUAAAGUAAUCGGGGCCUUGGGAUUUGACACAAACAUGUGUCAGGACUCCCCAAGGAGGAAAUUAAAACUGUAAAUGUGAAAUCUCACAAAAGACAUGUUCUGAUGUCAGAGUAAUAAUGUGUGAAUGUGAAGUCGACAUUGGGAGUGAGAGACAG